GGCCAAACUCCAAGUGAGCAUACCAGGUCAUGUUGGUAUAACCAGCUUCAUGGGGGGUGGCUUUACUAAGUCCGAAGAUUCUGAUCAGUUCCUCUCUUGCCCAUACAUGGCACCACUGACUCCUGUUAGAGCACACCACUGUGAAUGAUGCAUGAACUGCACUAGGUCCAAAUGGACUAACUAGGCCUGCUGUGCCACUAUGGGAAAGAGCAGACUUUGGUGCCUCUGAAAAGCAGCUGCCUGCAGUGUCCAGUGACCUGGGGCUCCUACUGGGGAGCAGACUCCUGGAGAAGGCACGACGCUGUGUACCAUCACUGUCCUCUCUGACCAGCUAGCAUAAGAACAGAACAGAGUGCCACUGCUCAGCUUCAUGACACCUCAGGAGGAAGCUGGUGCCUUGGAAAGUCAGGCUCACGAUGUGGUCCCAGACGCUCCUCACAGCUGGGUCCAGGAAGACUCUCCCAGGCCGCCCUCCCAGAUACCUGUGUCCUCAAAUCACACAUGAAGACAUUCCCUUGACUCCUCUCUGGGCACCAGGUCUUUUUUUAUUCUUGUUGGGAUGUUAAGUGAGAGUUUGAACUCUAAAUACAAGAAUUUGCCAGAACCGA